GUUUUCAUCCGCACCGAUAAUAGGUUGAAAUCAGACCA
rnacentral:sRNA from 1 species